ensembl:misc_RNA 7SK 7SK RNA
GGAUGCAAAAACAAUCUGGCUGUGACAUCUGUCACCCCAUUGAUAACCAGGGUUUAUUUGACUGAUCUAGCUGGCCAGGCUGGUGUCCUCUUCUUCCCUCAGUGUUCCAUGUGUGUCCCUCCAGAUCUCCACCUUUGGUCACAGAGGACAAUUCCAAAUAUAGGAGAAUCAUUCCUCUCCUGAGGGUUAUAUGUAUAGCUGUGCUCCCCUGCUAAAACUCCCAGACAAGCUCUCAGGGUCCCCAUUUAUGUCUGUAGUUGGGUUCUCCCUCUGGAAUUCCAAAGUUAAUAUCCAUGUGCUUACUAGACACACAGAUGCAGAUGCAU